AUUGAACGCUGGCGGCAGGCCUAACACAUGCAAGUCGAGCGGAUGACGGGAGCUUGCUCCUUGAUUCAGCGGCGGACGGGUGAGUAAUGCCUAGGAAUCUGCCUGGUAGUGGGGGACAACGUUUCGAAAGGAACGCUAAUACCGCAUACGUCCUACGGGAGAAAGCAGGGGACCUCCGGGCCUUGCGCUAUCAGAUGAGCCUAGGUCGGAUUAGGUAGUAGGUGAGGUAAUGGGUCACAUAGGACACGAUCCGUAACUGGUCUGAGAGGAUCAUCAGUCACACUGGAACUGAGACACGGUCCAGACUCCUACGGGAGGCAGCAGUGGGGAAUAUUGGACAAUGAGCGAAAGCCUGAUCCAGCCAUGCCGCGUGUGUGAAGAAGGUCUUCGGAUUGUAAAGCACUUUAAGUUGGGAGGAAGGGCAGUAAGCUAAUACCUUGCUGUUUUGACGUUACCGACAGAAUAAGCACCGGCUAACUCUGUGCCAGCCGCCGCGGUAACAC
rnacentral:rRNA from 1 species